UACAGAGGUUCCAAGCGUUGUUCGGAUUCACUGGGCGUAAAGGGUGCGUAGGCGGUUAGGUAAGUCGGAUGUGAAAGCUCGGAGCUCAACUCCGAAAUGGCAUUGGAAACUACCUUGCUCGAGGGUUGGAGGGGGGACUGGAAUACUUGGUGUAGCAGUGAAAUGCGUAGAUAUCAAGUGGAACACCAGUGGCGAAGGCGAGUCCCUGGACAACUCCUGACACUGAGGCACGAAAGCUAGGGGAGCAAACAGG
rnacentral:rRNA from 1 species